UUUUUUUUUUUUUUUUUUUUUUGCAUCAAUCUGCUUUUCUACUGUUCAUCCGCAUGGUUGAUUUUCUUCACAGAUUCACAGCAUACGUGUGUUUGUGUUUUAGGAGUGUCUGCAUAUAUGUGGGGGGUGGUGUUGAUAUGUAGAAGUUUUUUUAACCUUUGCUUUUUGUCAACAGUCCGAGUUUGUGUCUACCAAGCCUUCUUUUUACUAUUUUAAGCUAAUUAGGUUUGUGUUUCUCUCACCCAUGUAUACUUUACAUCAGAGACAAUGUAAAGUAUGUUUGUGCCCAUGAUGUCACUGGUUGCUUGCGGCUUCAUGUGGGUGCUAGGUGUUGUUUCAGUCCACGUGGGUUUUUUUUUUUCCUCUCUUUUAAUAGUUAUUCAAUCUCAUGUAAGCAGUUAAUGCAAAUAUUGUUAGCAUUACAGGUCAUGCAGUGCUGUAACAUUUUUUUAAAUGUUGCACCUACUUUACAAUUAAAACAUUGGUCACUCAUACUUGAAUUUUGCCCACACAGCCAUUUCUUUAUCUUUGUAUUAAAGCCAAUUCAUUUUUUUUAAAUGAAGCCUAGCCCUUUGACCUUAGUACAUUUUUUAUUUCCGAAAAUAAACUUUUUUCCAACCAAUCUGAGAAUGGAAACAGAAAGAAAAGUUUUUGCACCUUUAGAAACGUAAUAGUCCCUCUUGGAAAAGGAAAUCUAAUUUUGCUUUGAGCCCUUUAAAAGUUUUAGGAAGCACAAGGAGAAUAAACUACACUUUUCAGUGGUUUUUAAAGAUUAUUCCAAAUGUGUGAGACCUAAUUGAGCAACUUUUGUUUAAUUUGUCUUGUUUGUAGCAUUAAAAGCAAUCGGUUUUUAUUUAUUUAGAGGGACAUUUUUGGCUUGUACUUUUCAGUCUCAUUGUGCAUGUAAAUUCUUUGAGAAGAAUACUCAUCCCUUGUGAUGUCAUGGGCCACUUUUAGUCUUUCAUUUGAACCCUGACUUUGAGUUAUUUGCUAUGUCUGUGUUCUAAGUAAACACAGUUUCUUUUUUUGAACAUAACACUGCAGAAUGUGGGGAGAAGUAGAGGGUGGUUAUUCUGCUUUCUGUAAGUUUUAUGAAGAUUCUCAGCUGACUUAUCCCAUGAGGUGAUUCUUUUUUCAUUUCAGACCACAGUAACACGUUUUCGUUAACUUUGGUGAUCUUCCAUGCAGUUUGCAAUGUGCCCUUGUAAGCCACAAGUGGUUUUGCAUUGAUAUUUUUAAAUCUAAAAUAUUAAGAUGCUGGUGACAUUGCUCUUUCUGUAAAGAAAGCCAAGAUUCUAGACCUUACCAAAAAUCUGAUAUCCUGUUCGUUUUGCCCAUUUAUGCCCAAAUGGUGUAAUGCAAGACUCAAGACUUUUCAAUGUAAUGUAUAAAAUGAGUUGUGCAUUACUUGAUUCAUUUGGGGACCAGAAGCAAAUAAUAUCAAUCAGCCAGAACUGUAAUAUUGAAUUAGUCUAUCUUUUUCUUUCAUUCACUCUAUCACAUUUGCAUUAGCCAAAGAGAUAAGAACAUUAGUAAUUCAUAUGUGUAAACAACCCAGAAGUGAAUAUUCAAUCAGUGAGCCAAAAAGCAAUAAACAACUCAAGCAUGGGAAAUCCUGCUAACAGUGGGAAGUCUGAUAUAGAAAAAAAUAUAUAAAAAGCAUUAUCUUCAAAUAUGAAAGAUUAACUUGUAUCUACUGUAAAUAUGUAUUAUCAGCCUUAUCUGCUUUUAUACACACUGUGUGUGUACUGCAGUGACCUUUUAUAAACCGAAAAAAUGGUUGAUUUAAUAAUUUGUUAUGUAAAUACAAAGUUGUCUAUAAAUUGGAAAAUUUGAUGCCAGAUGGCUUCACAAUAUACAAAUGUGUUUUGUAACAUCAUGCCUUUAUGGAUUAAGUCUAAAUACACUGGAUUGUCUGUGUAGAAGAGUAGCAAUCUACAUUUCACCUGCAUAUCAAAUGGAUAUUUUUGUCCAAAUGGUUAUACUUUAGGAAAAGAAAAUAACCUGAACAUUUUCAGUGUGAAACAAAUAUGGUUUUGAAUUCACCAAAACUUCUUUUCAUGUUCAAGAGUCUGUUCAGUUCCACACUAAAUGACUCGUAUUAAGAGAUUUCCAUAGCAGAUUCAUGGGUUUGGGGCUGGGAUCUGCCUAGGAAGCCUCCCCAAACUGAAAUAUUCUAUUGUAGAGAUAGGUUGUGCAUCUUAAUUUCUAAAUCACAGGCAGGGGAAGAACCACAGUCUUCUUAUUGCUUUUUAAUUUAUUCUUCUCUUCUUUGUUUCCAUACAUCAUGGAAAACACCACACAGGCAAGCAGGGCCUGGUUCUCUUGCGCUAAGGUGGCUACAGAGUGUCAUCCCGACUCAGGGCUGCUCAACACCACUGACAUUUUGGGUGAGCUCAUUCUUUGCACAGGGGCUGUCCUGUGCAUUGUAGGAGGUUUGGCAGCCUCCCUUAGCUCUACUCACCAGAUGCCAGGAGCAUCCCUUCUAAAUUGUGACAAUCAAAAUUGACUCCAGACAUUGCCAGAUAUCUCUGGGGGUGUGAGGUGGGGCGGGGGUGGGAGACAAAGUGAUAUUUGAAAACCACUGCAUUAAUAGACUCAGUGAUAGAACAUAUGUCUGGGUGAAAUGUAGACAUGUUUGGCAUGCUGUUAGCAACAGGAAACUGAUUCCUAGAUCAAAGUCUGAAACAAAACCCAUGCCAAAGGAGUGCUUCUCAGUCCCUGGUUAAGGAAGUGAAUACAUUGGCUUCAGUUCCAUUUUGGACACAUUUGUCACUUUUGAUCAUAAGACUGACCCAGGACAAACAUCUUUGGAGAACUCCCAGGUAGGGCGAAGAAGAAUUACUGCCAUCCUGUGGUUGGGAGUUUGGGAGAAGACUGAUGGCUCACUUGGGUGGAAGGCUUCCCAGUGAUAGUGUAGCUGUCUCCUUGAGUCCAGAUGAGGAGUUUGGUUAAGAGGAUGUGUAUGUAUGUACGUUUAUAUGUAUCUAUUUCUUCAGCUCUCUCUAGUAGCCUGGUUCAGGUAUUAGCAGUUUUUGUGGGAUCCUCUUUUAAGUUCUGACAGAAACAGCUCUAUAGAUCCUGGAGAUAUCAUUGUGCAUUUAUUCAUUCAGUAGAUAUUUACUGAGUCCCACUCUAUGCCACACCCUAUCUGCAGCAAAGUGAGUAAGACACCUGUUUUCUGCCCUCACAGAGCUGCCUAAGGAGGAGGCCACUUAACCAUGUGCAGCAUUUCUUAAAAGUAAAAUUUUUUAAAGAUCUGGGCCCACCAUAAUUCUUCAUAUUACAUUUAUUGAGCCAGUUCCGUUCCAGUCCUGAGAGGUAUGUAUAUAACCAUCUUUGUGUAAAGUCACUUUAACAGUCAUGAAGAAAUGCUGUGUGGUGCACUUACAGUGUCUGCCAACAACAUGAUGCCCUAUUUCUGUCACACAAAUUAGGGCUCUAUUGGUAGAGCAAUAAUGUUUCUCCUUUGGUGAUAAGAGGUUGGGAAUGUUGGAAAUCCCAAAGCAUUUUGUGAGAUUGUUAGAAAACAAGGCCUGCUUCCUGGAAUGCACAGGUAGGUAUAGGUCUGGUCCAGCCACUUGGCACCAUAUCCCUUCAUCUUACACAUCUCACUGAAAAAGGAAGCUUCAGAGGAGCAUGCACGAUGUCAGAGGUAUCAGGUGAGCACCAAAGGUUAUGGAAGCACAGGAACAUGGGACCACGGGAGUCAGGCCAUCUGGCUACAAGGACCUCUGCCCCACAGCAGGGGAGACCACAAUAGCCUUUCAUCAUCCAUUCCGGCCGGUGAUUAUACACAUGCCCUGCAAAGUAUUCCCAACCACAAUUAGUCACCUCCUACAUUCAAUGAACAUUGAACUUAAGGGCUUUUCAAAGCUAAUUAACUGGGGUGGGGUUUUUUUUGUUUUUUGGGUUUUUUAAAGGCAGAACCAAUGCAAUAACAGGCAUCCAAUCCUAUGAUCCAGACACCAACAAAUAGCCCUUCUCUCUAGACAGGGUCUUGUACACAGGAAAUGGAGCCUCAACAGGGAGGCAGCCUGUUAUAAUGGUUAUAAAUUGUUCUUCUGAGGGGGUCGUCUAUAUUCCCAUCUAGGCUAUGCCACUAACUAGUUGUUUGACUUUGGGCAGGUUACUUAACCUAUCUGUGUGUAGCUUCCUCAUCUAAAAAAAAGAGGGAUAAUAACAACACUUCCUUCCUGGAGUUGCUUAGAGGAUUGAAUGAGAUAACGCAGAUAAACUCUUAGUGCCUGGCACAUAGCGGGCACUCAGGGACUGGUGAUUAAGCUGCAGUUGGAAAGAUUCAGAUUAGAAAAGGGAACUUGCUGCCAGGGAAAGCGGUUGUCAAACACAAGGAGGAGCCCUGUGUAGAAUUGCUGUCUCCCCAGGAAGCCUUUAAAGGUGGAGUGGUUUACCUGUCCCGAGGCCUUUUCUGGUGCUUUCCAUUUAGCCCAGAGUUUCAGAAUCUGCUACCUGGGGUAUUCCUUAGAAUUCCAUUGUCUGUAGUGCUACAUGCAGAAAUGGACCAGCAAAAUGAUCUCCCAAUAAACUAGUCUGGAAAAUGAUUUCUCCAAGAAGUGUAUAGGCAGCACAGAAACAGAACUUCUAACCUUCAGCCACAAAGUGAAGUUAGAACUGGCCCUUCGAAUAAGUAGCUCAAGCUAUGAAAAGUUAAAUAAGUUAUAAGCAACUAAAUCAGGGAAUGCAAAGUUUAGUCCAGGGAAAAGUGUAUUUGACCUGACCGAAAUUCAGUGUCCUCGUUCUUGCCACUGACUGGCUUCAUGAUUUAGGACAAAUCACUGAUAAGACGCCUAGGUUGUGACUCCAGCCAUUCAGUGGCUAUUGUGACAAAUUACCCUCUAAGGGCUUUAGUUUCAUCAUCUGAAAAUAAGGGCAAUAGGAUCAUAAAAUUGUUUGAGGAUUACACAGAUUAAUCUGUGUGAAGCACUUAGAAGAGUGUGGGCUUAGAGGAAAUGCUAUGCAAGUCGAGUUACUCUAUUGCUAUCGCUGUUAAUAAUAGUGGUGGAGCCUCACUCAGUUGCUUCAUCUCCAGAUGCAAGCAAACAACACAGCCCUCGCUUAUGUUAAAGAAGGAACCAGUCUUCUGUGGGGUACUCAUUUAAGGGGGUCUUGCUGUUCACCUUGGACCAUUUAUUUCUCUUCCCUGAUUUCAACACAGGUACUCUUGAGAGGAGUAAGACUUUGAACUGAGCAAGUGGCCGGAGGUUCCCAAAAGAUUUGAGAAUAUGGAGGGUGAGAAGAUGUUCAUAACUAUCCUAGGAUGAGCUUCCUCAGAAGACUGGCACGAAAAUAAAAAGAGAUGAUACAUUGAGAUAUGCUUUCAGAAGAAGAGAGGAAAGAAUAAAUAAUCUGAUAGUAUAUUUCAGUGCUAUUAAGGCUUACUAUUUAUUUCUUUUUUCUUUUUCCCUUUUACUGCUGCACCUGGAGCAUAAGGAAGUUCCCAGGCCAGGGGUUGAGUGGGAGCUGUAGCUGCAGGCCUACACCACAGCCACAGCCAGCCAGAUCUGUGACCUACACUGCACCUUGCAGCAAAGCCAGAUCCUUAACCCACUAAUAAGCAAGGCCAGGGAGUGAACCUGCAUUUUCACGAAGGCUAUGUCGAGUUCUUCACCCACUGAGCCACAGUGGGAACUCCCUACUUAUUUCUUAAUUGGAAGUUGCUGACUAAAGACUGUACAAAAAAGUCUAGGUACAGUAUUGAAGUAUAUAGAAACUAAUUUUCAGACUGUGAAGCCUUAGGCACAUCUUGUUAAAACAGGGGGCAGAAUUCGUUAAAACACUGAUGAAGGGAGUAGGUUUAUCUGAACACUUUUUUGCCAGGGGCAGAGCCUCUCUGGGUCUUCCUGUCUUUCGCUCCCUGGGUGGCUGCGGAAGAGUGCUUGUAGAGAACGUGGCCAGGAUGACUGAUUGCCCGAGGCUUUGGUCCCCAAACUGUGGCUGAAUCCCUCCGGAACAUGGCUGUCCUCGCCAAGUUAAUCUUAAAUAGCUUUCAUGGUCAGGGAAGAUAUCCUUAGGAAAUCUCUGAAAUCUGUUACAAGCUCUGUUCCCCUUUUCCAAUCAAAUGGGGAUUAUCUAGAAUUGGUGGUUUCCUUCAAAUUUCAAAACAAGCAUAGAGGUCCAGGAGCCUGUGAUUUCAGGCUGAGUCUCACUGUUCUGGUUUAUUUGGCACAGAAGGGGAAGCAAAAAUUCACAAGAGCUGGAAAAGAAAGCAUGCAAAAAUUGGAGUGGAGUAACACUGGCUAUCUCUGGACAAGCCAUCUAUCUUAGCAAAAGUCAGCAAAGCUGAAGAGAGACUGUUCCCCUAUACCCACAUUUCUCUUGGCUUUUCAAGCUCUUCUCAAGUCUCCUGGGUGAUUAUGGAGCAGCUGAGGCAUCCUGGGAGGAGGAGAAAGUAUGUGCACCAGGUCUGUGCUUCAUAAAGCAAGCGGGUCCGCCAAGAGAUCAGGCCAUAUAGUGAUGGCCAUUGUGAGGAGCUCAUCGCUUUCUCAACAGAAAACAAAAUAAGAAAGAGAUGUGGUUCCUGCCUCAAAGAAUAGCUUUCCUUGCUCUAAAGUGGUAGUUUCCAAACUUUAUUAUCAGAAAUUCCUAGCAGUAAAUUAAAAAUAAAAUUGAGGACUUACUAUACACACGUGUGUUUGUGUGUGUGUGUGUGUGUGUGUGUGUGUACUACUGAAUUAAUACACUAUGUGUGUUAUAAAACAGCCAGGGAGUUCCCGUCGUGGCACAGUGGUUAACGAAUCCGACUAGGAACCAUGAGGUUGCGGGUUCGAUCCCUGCCCUUGCUCAGUGGGUUAACGAUCCGGCGUUGCCGUGAGCUGUGGUGUAGGUCACAGACGUGGCUCGGAUCCUGCGUUGCUGUGGCUCUGGCGUAGGCCAGUGGCUACAGCUCUGAUUCGACCCCUAGCCCGGGAACCUCCAUAUGCCGCGGGAGCGGCCCAAGAAAUGGCAAAAAAAAAAAAAAAA
ensembl:lncRNA